rnacentral:rRNA from 1 species
UGGGGAAUUUUCCGCAAUGGGCGAAAGCCUGACGGAGCAAGACCGCGUGGGGGAGGAAGGUUCUUGGAUUGUCAACCCCUUUUCUCAGGGAAGAACAAAAUGACGGUACCUGAGGAAUCAGCAUCGGCUAACUCCGUGCCAGCAGCCGCGGUAAUACGGAGGAUGCAAGCGUUAUCCGGAAUGAUUGGGCGUAAAGAGUCCGUAGGUGGCUAGCCAAGUCGAUUGUCAAAGCACGAGGCUUAACUUCGUUCAGGCCGUCGAAACUGGCAAGCUAGAGAGCAGUAGGGGCAGAAGGAAUUCCUGGUGUAGCGGUGAAAUGCGUAGAGAUCAGGAAGAACACCGGUGGCGAAAGCGUUCUGCUGGGCUGCAUUCUGACACUGAGGGACGAAAGCUAGGGGAG